rnacentral:rRNA from 1 species
GACGAACGCUGGCGGCGUGCUUAACACAUGCAAGUCGAGCGGUAAGGCCCUUUCGGGGGUACACGAGCGGCGAACGGGUGAGUAACACGUGGGUGACCUGCCCUCAGCUCUGGGAUAAGCCUGGGAAACCGGGUCUAAUACCGGAUAUGACUCCAUGACGCAUGUUGUGGGGUGGAAAGCCUUGUGCGGCUGAGGAUGGGCCCGCGGCCUAUCAGCUUGUUGGUGGGGUGANGGCCUACCAAGGCGACGACGGGUAGCCGGCCUGAGAGGCGACCGGCCACACUGGGACUGAGACACGGCCCAGACUCCUACGGGAGGCAGCAGUGGGGAAUCUUGCGCAAUGGGCGAAAGCCUGACGCAGCGACGCCGCGUGA